UUUAUUGGCCAUACCACGUCUGAUCUCGGAAGCUAAGCAGGGUCGGGCAUGGUUAGUACUUGGAUGGGAGGAAUCCUGUGUUGGUUCGA
rnacentral:rRNA from 1 species